rnacentral:rRNA from 1 species
UGUAAUCUAUAGAGACGUUUUCCGUGCCGGACCGUGUCCAAGUCCCUUGGAACAGGGUAUCAAAGAGGGUGACAAUCCCGUACUUGACACGACGACCGGUGCUCUGUGAUACGUUUUCUACGAGUCGAGUUGUUUGGGAAUGCAGCUCAAAAUGGGUGGUAAAUUCCAUCUAAAGCUAAAUAUAGGCGAGAGACCGAUAGCGAACAAGUACCGUGAGGGAAAGAUGAAAAGCACUUUGGAAAGAGAGUUAAACAGUAUGUGAAAUUGUUGAAAGGGAAACGAUUGAAGUCAGUCAUGUCCAUUGGAUUCAGCUGGUUCUGCCAGUGUAUUUCCUUUGGACGGGUCAACAUCAGUUUGAGCCGACGGAUAAUGGCAGAGGGAAUGUGGCACCCCCGGGUGUGUUAUAGCCCUUUGUCGCAUACGUCGGCCCAGACUGAGGAAUGCAGCUCGCCUUUAUGGCCGGGGUUCGCCCACGUACGAGCUUAGGAUGUUGGCAUAAUGGCUUUAAACGACC